CUUAGAGUUUGAUCCUGGCUCAGAAUGAACGCUGGCGGCGUGCUUAACACAUGCAAGUCGAACGGUAACAGGAAGAAGCUUGCUUCUUUGCUGACGAGUGGCGCACGGGUGAGUAAUAUAUAGGUAAUGUGCCCCUUGGACCGGGAUAGCCACUGGAAACGGUGAUUAAUACUGGAUACUCCUUUUAAUCAUAAGAUUAAUCGGGAAAUGGAUUCCGCCAAGGGAUCGGCCUAUAUCCUAUCAGGUAGUUGGUGAGGUAAGAGCUCACCAAGCCAAUGACGGGUAGCGGGUUUGAGAGGAUGAUCCGCCACACUGGUACUGAGACACGGACCAGACUCCUACGGGAGGCAGCAGUGAGGAAUAUUGCACAAUGGGGGAAACCCUGAUGCAGCAACGCCGCGUGGAGGAUGACGCAUUUCGGUGUGUAAACUCCUUUUAUAUGUCAAGAAAAUGACGGUAGCAUAUGAAUAAGCACCGGCUAACUCCGUGCCAGCAGCCGCGGUAAUACGGAGGGUGCAAGCGUUAUUCGGAAUC
rnacentral:rRNA from 1 species